rnacentral:rRNA from 1 species
AUGCCCGGUGACUCGACGCUCCCCUCCGGGGACCGGCGCCUCCACCCGGCCUCCUCCCCCAGCCGGCCCGCUGGAUGGCCGCGCCGCCCGAGAACCACCUCCCGAGCGCGUCGCCAGGUCACCGCCUCCCACCCCUCCGUUAGGCCACCGCCCACCGCGCCGCACGACCACCACCGGCCCACCAUGCGAUGCUCUUCUGGCCAUCUUCCUCCCCGCCACCACUCUGGAUCGGGCAGUAACUGCGUUUCUCUUGUCGGAUCCAGCCGUCGUUCAGCCAGAUCCGCCGCCCGGCGUGCUAUCCCCAGACACGCGCAGCGGUGGCGCUAG